AAUGCAGUGCCCGAACAGGGCGUUGUAAUUGGAAUGAGAACAAUUUAAAUCCCUUAUCGAUUAACAAUUAGAGGGCAAGUCUGGUGCCAGCAGCCGCGGUAAUUCCAGCUCUAAUAGCGUAUAUUAAAGUUGUUGCAGUUAAAAAGCUCGUAGUUGGAUUUCGGCGUGCGCUCAGGCUGGUCGGCCGUCAAGGUCUGUACCGUUUGGGUCACGCCCCACUGUAGGAUACUCACCGCUGUCCUUAACUGGGUGGCGGUCAAAGGGGGUGUGCAAGGGGGCAACUCUGUGCAUAUCUCUGGGGUUCCUACUCUUUUACUUUGAGCAAAUUAGAGUGUUCAAAGCAGGCAAUCGAGCCUUGAAUACUUCAGCAUGGGAUAAUGGAACAGGACUGGGGUCCUGAUUACGUUGGUUUCUGGGAUCUCAGUAAUGAUUAAUAGGGAUAGUUGGGGGCAUUAGUAUUUAAUUGUCAGAGGUGAAAUUCUUGGAUUUAUGAAAGACUAACUUCUGCGAAAGCAUUUGCCAAGGAUGUUUUCAUUAAUCAAGAACGAAAGUUAGGGGAUCGAAGACGAUCAGAUACCGUCGUAGUCUUAACCAUAAACGAUGCCGACCAGCGAUUGGGAGACGUUACAUGGAUGACUCCCCCAGCAGCUUGCGAGAAAUCACAAGUCUUUGGGUUCCGGGGGGAGUAUGGUCGCAAGGCUGAAACUUAAAGGAAUUGACGGAAGGGCACCACCAGGAGUGGAGCCUGCGGCUUAAUUUGACCCAACACGGGGAAACUUACCAGGUCCAGACAUAGUAAGGAUUGACAGAUUUGAGAGCCCUUUCUUGAUUCUAUGGGUGGUGGUGCAUGGCCGUUCUUAGUUGGUGGAGUGAUUUGUCCGGUUAAUUCCGUUAACGAACGAGACCUUAACCUGCUAAAUAUGUCACUGGUAGACUUCUGCCAAAACAGGUGGGUGUCUAGGGGAAAGUUUCGAUGGACUCCGACGCAUUCAUCUGUGGAUGACUACCAAGAUGUACUUCUUAGAGGGACUAUCUGUAUCAAAGCAGAUGGAAGUUUGAGGCAAUAACUGGUCUGUGAUGCCCUUAGAUGUUCUGGGCCGCACGCGCGCUACACUGACAAGUUCAACGAGUUUAACACCUUGCUCGAUAGGGCUGGGUAAUCUUUGAAAAACUUGUCGUGAUGGGGAUAGAUCAUUGUAAUUAUUGGUCUUCAACGAGGAAUUCCUAGUAAGCGUGAGUCAUCAGCUCGCGUUGAUUACGUCCCUGCCCUUUGUACACACCGCCCGUCGCUCCUACCGAUUGAAUGAUCCGGUGAAAUGUUGGGAGCUGGGGUCUUUGGCGGCGGGGCAACUCGUCGUCAGGGAUUCUGCAAACUUCAUUAAACCUUAUCAUUUAGA
rnacentral:rRNA from 1 species